rnacentral:tRNA from 1 species
GGUCAGGUAGCCUAGUGUUAAGGCACCCCAGUACUAGUGGGAGGACCCAGGUUCAAUCCCUGGUCUGGCCA